ensembl:lncRNA
ACAAAGUGGAGCGACCCAGGGACAAGUCUGGUUUGAGUUUAAGAUUAAGGAUGGUUAACUUUUAUUAUUGGUGUUUGGUUAAGUUUAGGCAUUAGUGAUUGUAUUAAAGAUUGUUUAGGCCUUUGAGAUGUUUAGUUAGAUGGUUCAGUUUAGGUACUCAUUUAGAGUAAGAGAGUUUAGGCAUUUGAGAUCUUUAGUUAGAUGGUUAAGUUUGGGUAUUAGGUUGGUUUUUGUUUUGUUAGACAAGUUACUUUAGGCAUUUUAUGUGAUUCAAUUUAGGGCAUUUGAAAGAAAGAUUAGAAAGAUUGUUAAGCUCAGGUUAGCUCCAGCUUUGUCCCUUUAGUCGCUCCCUUAGAAAGAGG